AUUGAACGCUGGCGGCAUGCCUUACACAUGCAGGUCGAACGGUAACGGGCCUUCGGGUGCCGACGAGUGGCGCACGGGUGAGUAAUACAUCGGAACGUGCCCGAUCGUGGGGGAUAACGAGGCGAAAGCUUUGCUAAUACCGCAUACGAUCUACGGAUGAAAGCAGGGGACCGCAAGGCCUUGCGCGGACGGAGCGGCCGAUGGCAGAUUAGGUAGUUGGUGGGAUAAAAGCUUACCAAGCCGACGAUCUGUAGCUGGUCUGAGAGGAUGAUCAGCCACACUGGGACUGAGACACGGCCCAGACUCCUACGGGAGGCAGCAGUGGGGAAUUUUGGACAAUGGGCGCAAGCCUGAUCCAGCCAUGCCGCGUGCAGGAUGAAGGCCUUCGGGUUGUAAACUGCUUUUGUACGGAACGAAAAGCCUUCUUUUAAUACAGGAGGGUCAUGACGGUACCGUAAGAAUAAGCACCGGCUAACUACGUG
rnacentral:rRNA from 1 species